rnacentral:rRNA from 1 species
UGGGGAAUAUUGCACAAUGGGCGCAAGCCUGAUGCAGCCAUGCCGCGUGUGUGAAGAAGGCCUUCGGGUUGUAAAGCACUUUCAGCGGGGAGGAAGGCGAUAAGGUUAAUAACCUCAUCGAUUGACGUUACCCGCAGAAGAAGCACCGGCUAACUCCGUGCCAGCAGCCGCGGUAAUACGGAGGGUGCAAGCGUUAAUCGGAAUUACUGGGCGUAAAGCGCACGCAGGCGGUCUGUCAAGUCGGAUGUGGAAUCCCCGGGCUCAACCUGCGGACUGCGUUCGAUACUGGCAGUCUAGCGUCUUGUAGGGGGUGGUAGACUUCCUGGUGUGGCUGUGAGUUGCGUCGUGAUCUGGCGGAAUACCGGUGGCGAGGGCGGCCCCCUUGCCAACGACUGACGCUCAGGUGCGAAAGCGUGGGGAGCAAACAGG